rnacentral:pre_miRNA from 1 species
AUAGUACUCCCUUCAUCCGGAAAUACUUGUCGAAGAAAUAGAUGUAUUUAGACACAUUUUAGUAUUAGAUACAUUCAUUUUUACCUAUUUUUUUAAUAAGUAUUUCUGGACGGAAGGAGUACUGC